UCUCUAGACAUCACAGGGUACAUGCAAGUGACCCAGACCUGUCCCGUGACCACUGUCCAGGCACCUACGGGGGUGAAGGACAAUAAGAGGAAUGUAGACCUCUCCCCACCAGUAUGGACCUGUUGCUUCUCUGGGUGGAAAAUGACAGAGAAGGUGCUCAACAGAUGUCAGCUGAAUGAAUCAAUGACUGAAGAAUGGAAAUAAGCACCCACACAUGUUCAAACAUCACAUUCAAGGCUUCUGGAAACCUCUACGGGUCACCAGCAGAGACAAAGGGACUCUGUGCUUGACAGGAUACUGUUGCUAUAGCAACCUGCUACCCAGAGAAGCCUCUACCAUUCUCUCCUUACAGUAACCAAGAGAGCUCCAUUUUUACCCUUAGCAAGCAUGUCUGGGACUCCACCACUGGCAGACUUGAAGCUGAAAGUAAAUCAAGAAACCCUUCUCCCAGAGUAGAAGACUCUUAACAUCAGAUUGAAUCUCCAAGUUGGGAUUUAGUAGUUGACUGCAAAAUUCGGCUUCAUGAUUUUCUGAGCAAUUUUUAACUGAAGGUUUGCCGUUAAACUGUUUAUGAAUUCAAC